CCUACGGGCGGCAGCAGUGGGGGAUAUUGCACAAUGGUGGAAACACUGAUGCAGCGACGCCGCGUGCGGGAUGACGGUCCUCUGGAUUGUAAACCACUGUCCCCAGGGACGAAAAUGACGGUACCUGGGGAGGUAGCUCCGGCAAACUACGUGCCAGCAGCCGCGUUCAUACGUAGGGAGCGAGGGUUGUCCGGAUUUACGGGGUGUAAGGGGAGCGUAGGCGGGGAUGCAGGUUGGGGGUCAAAACUACCGGCUCAACUGGUAGUCGCACUCAAAACUGCAGCUCUUGAGUGAGGUGGAGGCAGGCGGAAUUCGUGGUGUAGCGGUGAAAUGCGUAGAUAUUAGGAGGAACACCAGUGGCGAAGGCGGCCUGCUGGGCUUUUACUGACGCUGAGGCUCGAAGGUGUGGGGAGCGAACAGGAUUAGAUACCCUAGUAGUC
rnacentral:rRNA from 1 species